GACGAACGCUGGCGGCGUGCCUAAUACAUGCAGGUAGAACGCUGAAGGAGGAGCUCGCUUCUCUGGAUGAGUUGCGAACGGGUGAGUAACGCGUAGGUAACCUGCCUGGUAGCGGGGGAUAACUAUUGGAAACGAUAGCUAAUACCGCAUAAUAUUGACUAUUGCAUGAUAGUCAGUUGAAAGGUGCAACUGCACCACUACCAGAUGGACCUGCGUUGUAUUAGCUAGUUGGUGGGGUAACGGCUCACCAAGGCGACGAUACAUAGCCGACCUGAGAGGGUGAUCGGCCACACUGGGACUGAGACACGGCCCAGACUCCUACGGGAGGCAGCAGUAGGGAAUCUUCGGCAAUGGACGGAAGUCUGACCGAGCAACGCCGCGUGAGUGAAGAAGGUUUUCGGAUCGUAAAGCUCUGUUGUAAGAGAAGAACGAGUGUGAGAGUGGAAAGCUCCCACUGUGACGGUAUCUUACCAGAAAGGGACGGCUAACUACGUG
rnacentral:rRNA from 1 species